UAGGGAAUCUUCGGCAAUGGGGGCAACCCUGACCGAGCAACGCCGCGUGAGUGAAGAAGGUUUUCGGAUCGUAAAGCUCUGUUGUAAGUCAAGAACGGGUGUGAGAGUGGAAAAGUUCACACUGUGACGGUAGCUUACCAGAAAGGGACGGCUAACUACGUGCCAGCAGCCGCGGUAAUACGUAGGUCCCGAGCGUUGUCCGGAUUAUUGGGCGUAAAGCGAGCGCAG
rnacentral:rRNA from 1 species